GCCCUGUGGUUGCUGGACACUGGUUUCUAUGUGCAGUGCUUCAGUUAAUAGAAAUGGGCCAAAAGUGACACUGUGAUUUUACGCAUGGAACCUGUGAUACGUGAGCAGCCUCCAUAGCCCGGUCACAGUCACAGAC
ensembl:snoRNA